rnacentral:rRNA from 1 species
UACGUAGGCAGCGAGCGUUGUUCGGAGUUACUGGGCGUAAAGGGGGUGUAGGCGGUUGUUUAAGUUUGGUGUGAAAUCUCCCGGCUCAACUGGGAGGGUGCGCCGAAUACUGAAUGACUUGGAGUGCGGGAGAGGAGAGUGGAAUUCCUGGUGUAGCGGUGAAAUGCGCAGAUAUCGGGAAGAACACCCGUGGCGAAGGCGGUUCUCUGGGACGGUACUGACGCUGAGACGCGAAAGCGUGGGGAGCGAACAGG